GGAUGUGGAAUCUGGCCAGGGAAGAGGCAGCUUGGUCCAGCCCACUGCAGGAGGCUGGUAGCAGGGCCUUUGAAGGUUGCCGAGGCCACAAACAGGGAGUUUUCCGAGCUGUCACUGGGGCAGGCCAGCACCCAGCCCCCGGGGCCCUUAGUCGGCUCAGCCAAUGGCGACGGCACUUGCGUUUCUGCAGCAGCUCUCCCGCUCAAGAGAGGGGAAGUGACCCAGUGAGGAUUCCACAGCAAGAGCGAGCACAGGCGGGUGCCCAGCCUCCUGGAUCAUGCCGCUCCUGAAUCCCGCACACCAGCACCAACCAGCCAGGCAUGUUUCCAGGGAGGAACAGCCCCGGACAACACCCCGAAUACAGCAAGUGCUGGCGCCCCAGACGGAAGCAGAGAGGCAAGGCCCUCUGAGGAGGUCCCCAGCCAGCCACAGGGAGCCGAGAGGCGGGAGGGCCGGCCGGGCCUCGUGCUCUUGGGUCUCAGCCAGGCCUUGGUCCCCACCCCAGCCAGGCCUCUAGCCAGAGUUUCUCCCAGGGCCGGUACUGGGCGGCCUCCAGAGCCUCAGCCCGCCCUGGACCUCCCCGCCUCCCUGAGGCUCAUCUACUCAAGGGGGAUCCCUGCCCCGGAGAAACCGGGAACUUCUGACCCUCCUUGGGAGUGUUUUAAAAAAUCCUUCAAAACUACCCUCUCUCUUCCUGUCCCCCAGGGCACCCAGAGAAAAGCCGCCCUCCUGAGAAGUUCCCAGCCUGGCUUAUUUGGUUGAAUUUUUUCAGAAACAGACAUGAGGUUCCGUGGGCAUCCCCCCUCUACACACACGCAGCUGAGC
ensembl:lncRNA